AUGACCACGGAGCCUUCCACCUCCGCGGCGACCUCCACCGCCGCCGCCUUAGCAGGCGACGCUAGUUGCACGGAGCCGUGGAGCGCCAGGGUGCGCACCUUGGCACGCCUCGGCCGGCACCGGGAGGUCCUGGCCCUGCUCCGCGACGGCGACCCCUCGCCGCCGCCGCACGCCCUUGCGCUACCAGCCGCGGUCAUCUCCUGCACGGCGCUAUCCCUGGUCUCCGGCGUCGCCCAGAUACAGGCACUCGGUUGCAAGCGCGGCCUGCUCCCUUCCUCCGACGCCUACCUCCUCUCCUCGUUGCUCUCCUCCUACUCCCGCCUCGGCCUCCUCCCGCGCGCCGACCAACUCCUCGACGAAAUGCCCCUCGCGUCCACGCCUCCCACCACGCUCCGCACCGCCUUCAACUCCCUCAUCUCCGGAUGCGCGCUGCACGUGCUCCCGGCCGCCUACUUCGCCCUCUUCCGCCGCAUGCGGGCGCCCGGCGCCCCCUUCGACGCGGUCACGCUCAUGACGCUGCUCCAUGCCCUCGCGGGGAAAGCAGGGCUGGCGGCCGAGACAAACGUGGCCAACUGCCUCAUAUCAGUGUACGCACACCGCGGCGCUGGCCUUGCCCGGCAGGUGUUUGAUGAGAUGCCAUUGACCUCCCGUGACAUCGUCUCAUGGAACGUCGUGCUCUCAGCCCACGCACAGAAUGGCCUCGCCGUGGACGCCCUUGAUCUCUACAGCCGCAUGUGUGGCCACGAUGGCGGCGGCGUGGAGCCAGACGUCGUGGCCCUCGUGGGCGUGCUCUCCUCGUGUGCCCAUCUUGGAGCGCGCGGUGUAGGCCUGGGUGUCGAGCACUACAUGCAGGAGAGGCUCCCAGGCUUCCACGCCAACGUGCAGCUUUGCAACUCUCUCAUCAACUUCCAUGCACGUUGCGGCAGCUUGCCCCAGGCACAGCGGCUGUUCAAUGAAAUGCCUAGGAAGAGCAUUGUGUCUUGGACGGCACUGAUCACUGGGUAUGGCAUGCACGGGCAUGGCAAUGUUGCUGUAAAUCUCUUCCAGGCGAUGGUGUCACAAGGCAUCCGGCCAGAUAAUGUCGCGAUGGUCGGCCUCUUGUCGGCAUGCAGCCAUGCUGGAAUGUAUGAUGAGGGGCGCAAGUACUUCUCAGCAAUGGAGAGUACAUACCAGUUGCGGCCUACACUGGAGCACUACACCUGCAUGGUGGACCUCCUUGGACGGGCCGGCCGUCUCAAGGAGGCGCGAGAACUCAUCUCCUCAAUGCCCAUGCCUGCCGACGGUGCAGUGUGGGGUGCCCUUCUUGGGGCGUGCAAGAUACAUAAGAAUGUGGAGAUAGGGGAGGAGGCUUUCGAGCAUGUCAUCGAGCUCGAACCGAGCAAUGUGGGCUACUACGUGCUCAUGGUGAACUUAUACACAGACACAGGACAACCAGAUGGUGUCGUGAGGGCAAAAAGGAUUUACGAGCUUGUGAUUAAGCUUGAACAAAUGAUGAAGGAGAAAACAGAUGGCACUACAGAUAUGGAGCGAGGCAAAGUGGACGAGGGGCACUCCAAGAAAAUGGCUGCGCCGUUGAUCGGCUUUCACAGCGAGAAGCUCGCUGUGGCCUUUGGUAUGUUGAACACUGAUGACAUUGAGAUUGUGGUGAUCAAGAACCUAAGGAAUUUGGUGCUCAUUGUUAGGAGAAGGAAGAAUUCGCUCCAGAUCUUCAGUGCUCACUGGGACAGGCGUGGUGACUAUGCUUCCACUCCAGCUAUGAGAAAAGUGGAGGGUUGGAUCAAGAGCAGGGCCUAA
rnacentral:rRNA from 1 species